CUCGCAACCCUCCGUGGGGACGCAGUCUAAGGACCCCGUCUUUAGUUCACACCCUACAGUCAGCCCUGUUCCCCCAGCCCAGCCCCGGGGCCAGGGAGAGUUGGCCUGGACAAGGUCCUGCCCCCAGCCUGGACUCCCUCUGGCCUCGCCUUUUUCUGUUUCUGGGCCUUGUCGGGGCUCUGAGUAGCUCAGCUUCCAGGCAUCCCUGGGCGUGGGAUUCAUGGGCACCUCGGGUCCAAGCUGUGGCCUCCACUGGGGACCCUGAGCUGUCUGCCUCCAGCUGUUACCUCUUCCUCUCUCUGUCUCAGUCUGUUACUGUUAUCAUUCUUUUUUUUUUUUUUUUUAAUUAUUUAUUGGCUGUGCUGGGUCUUCUAUGCUCAGUUCAGUCACUCAGUCGUGUCCGACUCUUUGCGACCCCAGGGAUUGCAGCACGCCAGGCCUCCCUGUCCAUCACCAACUCCCGGAGUCCACCCAAAUCCAUGUCCACUGAGUCGGUGAUGCCAUCCAACCAUCUCAUCUUCUGUUGUCCCCUUCUCCUCCUACCCCCAAUCCCUCCCAGCAUCAGGGUCUUUUCCAAUGAGUCGGCUCUUCUCAUAAGAUGGCCAAAGUAUUGGAGUUUCAGCUUCAGCAUCAGUCCUUCCAAUGAAUAUUCAGGACUGAUUUCCAACACCACAGUUCAAAAGCAUCAGUGCUUCUAUGCUGCAGGGGCUUUUUCUAGGUGUGGCUGGUGGGGGCUACUGUCUAGCUGCGGUGUGCAGGCUUCUCAUUUCGGUGGCUUCUCUUGCUGCAGAGCACGGGCUCUAGGGCUGGGGGGCUCAGUAGUUGUGGCUGCGGGCUCCAGAGCACCGGCUCAGUAGUUGGGGCACACGGGCUUAGUUGCUCUGUGGCACGUGGGAUCUUCCCAGGCCAGGGAUCAAACAUUGUCUCUUCCAUCAGCAGGCCGGUUCUUUACUGCCUGAGCCACCAGGGAAGCCACCAGGGAAGUCCUGUUAUUACUCUUGUUUGAUGUGUUACACUUAGUUUUACAGUUCCGUGUCUCCGCACUAUUUGAGUAUAUCAAAUUGCUUCAAUGUCUGCUGUCUGUUUUCCUUUUUUUCUACUUUAAUUUCUUUUAGGUUUAUUCAAGGUAAAAAUUCCUGCUCCCACCUUGUUUUCCUUGACUUUCCAUUAACUGUUUUUCACUGGGAAAGUAACAACAGCCCAUGACGGAAGUAGGACCCAACGAGAGGGGAGGGCUUCCC
rnacentral:lncRNA from 1 species